rnacentral:rRNA from 1 species
UACGUAGGGUGCAAGCGUUAAUCGGAAUUACUGGGCGUAAAGCGUGCGCAGGCGGUUAUAUAAGACAGUUGUGAAAUCCCCGGGCUCAACCUGGGAACUGCAUCUGUGACUGUAUAGCUAGAGUACGGUAGAGGGGGAUGGAAUUCCGCGUGUAGCAGUGAAAUGCGUAGAUAUGCGGAGGAACACCGAUGGCGAAGGCAAUCCCCCUGGACCUGUACUGACGCUCAUGCACGAAAGCGUGGGGGAGCAAACAGGAUUAGAAAA